rnacentral:rRNA from 1 species
GACGAACGCUGGCGGCGUGCUUAACGCAUGCAAGUCGAACGGUAAGGCCCUUCGGGGUACACGAGUGGCGAACGGGUGAGUAACACGUGGGUGAUCUGCCCUGCACUUCGGGAUAAGCCUGGGAAACUGGGUCUAAUACCGGAUAGGACUCCGGACUGCAUGGUCUGGGGUGGAAAGCUUUUGCGGUGUGGGAUGGGCCCGCGGCCUAUCAGCUUGUUGGUGGGGUAAUGGCCUACCAAGGCGACGACGGGUAGCCGGCCUGAGAGGGUGACCGGCCACACUGGGACUGAGAUACGGCCCAGACUCCUACGGGGGGCAGCAGUGGGGAAUAUUGCACAACGGGCGCAAGCCUGAUGCAGCAACGCCGCGUGAGGGAUGACGGCCUUCGGGUUGUAAACCUCUUUUAGUAGGGAAGAAGCGAAAGUGACGGUACCUGCAGAAAAAGCACCGGCUAACUACGUGCCAGCAGCCGCAGUAA